UUUUGCCACAGCCCUUUAUUUAUCAGUCAAGUCCAACUCUGUUCAGAGGCCACAGCAUCCCAGAGCUAUCUUAAAUUCUAUGAGUGCUCCUCUGCAAAAUCUUAAGUCCAAAGCCUUAAGAUCAAUAUUUGGAAUUAUGUGUCAAUUAAUAUUCACACCAUCUGGUCAAAGGAACUUCUUUUUCUCUGGACUCCAGUCCAAACUUCAAAUGAGCUAGACAUCACAUUCUGUAGAUCACUACCUAAACCUGAAAGCCCAUUUCUAGCCCCGCAUAAUCUUUCUUCAACUACUGAGUAAGGUUUUUGUAUUUUACUAUAGAACGACUGUAUGGUUUGUGAACUCUACCUUCAUAAAGCUGCUUAAAAGGGACACAAGUACUUGCUUUGCACACGAUAAUGAACAACUUUAAUGAACUAAAAAGCAUUAUAGAAAUAUACAUUUCUACAGAAAAGACUACAUUUGACAGCAGUGACAUGGCUCUACCUUCCUGGUACACCUGACCUAGAGAACGCUUUCAUCCUGGAUAUUUCUGCUCUGGCCAGCUGAGCAUACUUCCUCAGUUUUGCAAUAUACUCUGAAGGGGAGGGA